AGCAGUAGCCGCGGUAACACGUAGAUGGCAAGCGUUGUCCGGAAUUAUUGGGCGUAAAGGGCUCGCAGGCGGUUUCUUAAGUCUGAUGUGAAAGCCCCCGGCUCAACCGGGGAGGGUCAUUGGAAACUGGGAAACUUGAGUGCAGAAGAGGAGAGUGGAAUUCCACGUGUAGCGGUGAAAUGCGUAGAGAUGUGGAGGAACACCAGUGGCGAAGGCGACUCUCUGGUCUGUAACUGACGCUGAGGAGCGAAAGCGUGGGGAGCGAACAGGAUUAGAGACCCCCGUAGUCCCUGUCUCUUAUAC
rnacentral:rRNA from 1 species